rnacentral:rRNA from 1 species
AACGCGAAGAACCUUACCCAGGUUAGAAGUGCAGGAGAAGAUAGCAGAGAUGUUAUCGUCCGCAAGGACUGCUGCAUAGGUGCUGCAUGGCUGUCGUCAGCUCGUGCCGUGAGGUGUUGGGUUAAGUCCCGCAACGAGCGCAACCCUUAUCAUUAGUUGCCAACGAGUAAUGUCGGGGACUCUAGUGAGACUGCCUAGGUUAACUAGGAGGAAGGUGAGGAUGACGUCAAGUCCGCAUGGCCUUUAUGUCUGGGGCUACACACGUGCUACAAUGGUCGGUACAGAAGGCAGCGAAACCGAGAGGUGGAGCAAAUCCCCAAAGCCGAUCUCAGUUCAGAUUGUAGUCUGCAACUCGACUACAUGAAGCUGGAAUUGCUAGUAAUGACGUGUCAGCAACAACGUCGUGAAUACGUUCCCGGGCCUUGUACACACCGGUACUA